UACGUAGGGGGCAAGCGUUAUCCGGAUUUACUGGGUGUAAAGGGAGCGUAGACGGCAUGGCAAGCCAGAUGUGAAAUACCGGGGCUCAACCCCGGGACUGCAUUUGGAACUGUUAAGCUGGAGUGUCGGAGAGGCAGGCGGAAUUCCUAGUGUAGCGGUGAAAUGCGUAGAUAUUAGGAGGAACACCAGUGGCGAAGGCGGCCUACUGGACGGUGACUGACGCUGAGGCUCGAAAGCGUGGGGAGCAAACAGG
rnacentral:rRNA from 1 species